CCUGGUUCAGAUUGAACGCUGGCGGCAUGCUUUACACAUGCAAGUCGAACGGUAACAGGGUGCUUGCACCGCUGACGAGUGGCGAACGGGUGAGUAAUAUAUCGGAACGUACCUAGUAAUGGGGGAUAACUAUCCGAAAGGAUAGCUAAUACCGCAUACGCCCUGAGGGGGAAAGAGGGGGAUCGCAAGACCUCUCGUUAUUAGAGCGGCCGAUAUCAGAUUAGCUAGUUGGUGAGGUAAAGGCUCACCAAGGCCACGAUCUGUAGCGGGUCUUAGAGGACGAUCCGCCACACUGGAACUGAGACACGGUCCAGACUCCUACGGGAGGCAGCAGUGGGGAAUCUUGGACAAUGGGCGCAAGCCUGAUCCAGCAAUGCCGCGUGCGUGAAGAAGGCCUUCGGGUUGUAAAGCGCUUUUGUUCGGGAGGAAAUCCUAGGGGCUAAUACCUCUUGGGGAUGACAGUACCGGAAGAAUAAGACCGG
rnacentral:rRNA from 1 species